AUGCCCCUCGGGAACUCAGGUCCGCCGCAUCUCCUGGGACUCCGAUGGGCUGGCCGGUCGGCCGCGGGACAUCUGGCCUCAUCAGAACCGCAGCCGGCCGGUCACCAC
rnacentral:sRNA from 1 species